rnacentral:lncRNA from 1 species
AAAGAAGAAGGAGCUGGGUGUGCAGGUUGAGGAUAAGAAGGUGGCGGCGGUGGAGGACGGGAGGCUUUAGUACCAGGUGGGAGCUCCACCUGUUACUAAACCCGGUACUAAAAGGGAUCAUAGGGACCUCCUCGGGGACUAUCCAAUAGGCCCUGCACUAAAGCUCACAUUAGUACCGGGCCAAAUAGUGACCGGUACUGAGCCUCGAGAUGAG